GCUCCAGGCACCCUCAGGAGGACGGCAAGGGACAAUUGGCUGGGUCUCACUCUGCCAUCCAGGUCGGAGUGCACUGCCAUGAUCACGGCUCACUGCAAUCUCAACCUCCCGGGCUCUGGUGAUCCUCCCAACUCAGCCUACCGGGUAGCUGGGACUACAGGCACACGCCACCACACACAGCUAACUUCUGUAUUUUUAGUAGAGAAAGGGUUUUGCCACAUUGCCCAGGCUGGUCUGGAAAUCCUGGGCUCAAGUGAUCUACCCACCUUGGCGUCCCAAAGUGCUGGGAUUACAGGUGUGAUCACUGCGCCCGGGCCACCUGCACAUGUAAAAUUGUGAACUUCUGUAUACUUCAGUAACUUUUCCAAGAUUUCUUUGACGCAAAGUUCUCAGAAAUCUUAAAGCUAGCAUUUCAGAAUAGAAAAAGUAGCUUCUGGUUCACUAGUGAAAUUUUACCAAUAGAAUUUAAAAACAAAAAGCUACUAACGCAUAUCAGCUCAGAACACUACCAGCAGAUCUUUUCUUUAACUUCCUGAAGCACUGGGAUUCAUUCUUUUGGCAAAGAAAGGAUGAACAACACUGUAACCCAAAGAAAAGAUACCACUGCCAGAAAAGACUUCUUUUCGAAAGCAGCUCUAAGCAAAAGAUAGGAGGAAAACAAGGAAGCCAGGCCAAACGUCUUGGUUAACUCUCCGCUGAAAGGACGCCACAUGAGAUGAUCUAAGAAGCCAGCCAGCCAGCCAGACGCAGGGAAAUCACAGCAACUCUUUGGAGUGCAAACAGCAACCCCACAAUCCAAUCUACCCGAAAUCCUGCGGUUCAUUUGAGGCUUGCCCCGCUAGUCAGGAGGUGAUUCAGUGAUGGCUACAAAUGCUGCUCAUGUGCAUCCUGGAGCUGGCACACCUGGCUUGCCCAUCACCAGCCUGGAGACACCGCCAGGAGCAGAAGCCCGGAGGCCAGUAAAGACCCCAACUUUGCAAGUCAGGGGCGCGAGCGCGCUCGCCUCUCAGGUCCGCAGAGGGAACGGAUUUCUGGCCUGGAGGGUGGGGUGCGGGGUCAGUGUCCUCUACAGGAUAUAGGAGGACGUGCCCCCGAAGCUGCUCCGUCCCUCCACCCCCUGGGAUGCCACAGAACACCCGCCAGCGAGUUUCUUCCCCAGCGCCCACGAGAGUUGGGCUGCGGGCGGCAGCGGCAGGCGAAGAAUCCAGCGCGGGGAACUCAGGCCCCGGCGGUGCACGACCCCCCACAGCCCCCACCCGCCCCCGCGCUCGCGCAACAAAACUUGCCACGGCCGCGCCUCGACCCAGCUGUGCGCCCGCGGGUCCCGGAUUCACCGCCCGCCCAGCCUGGCGCGGCGCCCUCACCUCAGAAACGCUG
rnacentral:lncRNA from 1 species